AUAAAGUUUGAUUUUGACUUUUAUUUUACUAUUUUUUUAUUUUACAUGUAAGUUUUUGCGCGAGUUUACAAGAUUUUAAUAAUUAUGUUAGGAUUUAUUCGCAGUAUUUAGUUUUAAAUUUGAAAGUUAUUUCGAUUUGGUAAAAAUUUGAGUUCAGAAUAAUUUUGUGCCAGCAUUCGCGGUUAUACAAGUUGUGCAAGUAAUAAUUCUUGGUUAGUAGUAAGUUUUAUUUUAAUUAAAUUAAUUAAUUAGUUUAUAGGUGAAAUUUUAAAUUUAAUAUAUAUUUUUUUUAUUUAAAUGAAUCUACGAAAUUUUUUAUUUAAAGACUAGGAUUAGAUACCCUAUUAUAAUAAAUGUGGAUAAAAACCUGGGUAGUAAUAGUUAUGAUCUUGAAACCUAAAAAAUUUGGCGGUGCUUUAAUCUAUUUAGAGGAACCUGUUCCGUGAUCGAUAGCCCACGAUAAAUUUUACUUGAUUUUGUUUAGCUUAUAUACCGUUGUUAUCAGAAUAUUUUAUAAGAAAAUAAUUUUCUUUCAUUUUUAUAAAAAUUUAUUUCAGAUCAAGGUGUAGCUUAUAAUUAAGAGGUAAUGGGUUACAAUAAAUUAAUUUAAAUGGAAAUAAACUUGUAAAAUUAUAUUAAAGGUGGAUUUAAUAGUAAAUUGAAAUAUAUAUUUUAGUUGAUACGAGCUCUAAAGCAUGUACAUAUCGCCCGUCGCUCUUUUUAAUUAAAGAUAAGUCGUAACAUAGUAGAUGUACCGGAAGGUGUAUCUAGAAUGCA
rnacentral:ncRNA from 1 species